rnacentral:rRNA from 1 species
AACUUCUGCUAAUACCGCAUAACGCAGCGGAGUCGCAUGGCUCUGCUGCCAAAGAUUUAUCGGUUAAAGAUGAGCUCGCGUCCCGAUUAGAUAGAUGCGGGGUAACGGCCCACCCAUGUCGACGAUCGGUAGCCGGACUGAGAGGUUGAACGGCCACAUUGGAACUGAGAGACGGGUCCAGACUCCUACGGGAGGCAGCAGUGGGGAAUAUUGGGCAAUGGGCGAAAGCCUGACCCAGCGACGCCGCGUGAGGGAAGAAGGUCUUCGGAUUGUAAACCUUAGUUGGCAGGGAAGAAGAAAGUGACGGUACCUGCAGAGAAAGCCACGGCUAACUACGUGCC